rnacentral:rRNA from 1 species
AGGACGAACGCUGGCGGCGUGCCUAAUACAUGCAAGUCGAGCGCGGGAAGCGGACUCGUCACCCUUCGGGGUGUCUAGUCCGUGGAACGAGCGGCGGAUGGGUGAGUAUCACGUGGGCAACCUGCCUGUAAGAUUGGGAUAACUCGCGGAAACGUGAGCUAAUACCGAAUGAAGUCUUUCACCACCUGGUGAAAGGAUGAAAGAUGGCUUUUAGCUAUCACUUACAGAUGGGCCCGCGGCGCAUUAGCUAGUUGGUGGGGUAAAGGCCUACCAAGGCGACGAUGCGUAGCCGACCUGAGAGGGUGAUCGGCCACACUGGGACUGAGACACGGCCCAGACUCCUACGGGAGGCAGCAGUAGGGAAUCUUCCGCAAUGGACGAAAGUCUGACGGAGCCAACGCCGCGUGAGUUGAUGAAGGUCUUCGGAUCGUAAAACUCUGUUGUCAGGGAAGGACAAGUUGUGUUCUAACAGGACAUGACCUUGACGGUACCUGACCAGAAAGCCCCGGCUAACUACGUGCCAGCCGCAGC